CAUUUAGCCGUUACAUACGUACGCCCAAAAUACGUUAUAUUACAAUAAUACUACAAAAAAAUCGAUUGAUAGAAAUAAAAGGUAUUUGAACUUCUCUACGGCUCACGUGAUUCGCGCACCAUCUAAAUUAAUCGGUGUUUAAAGCUUGUUCUCGAUGUGAUAAAGAACGCAAGAAAACGUGAGCAUCUAGGUUUGAAGAUGUGAACAUUUAUGGAAGAAUCGUACCGAGGAUAAUGAGGCCGUAUCUCCUACACACAGUGAUUAAUAAAACAUAAGUUUCAACAUGUUUUACGAAAAAAAAGUCACACUGAAUUUCCUAUACAAUGUAAUUCUCAAAAAUAAACUGCGUGUUUUUUUUUUUUUAAUUACA